UUGAACGCUGGCGGCAUGCCUUACACAUGCAAGUCGAACGGUAACGGGUUAAGCCGACGAGUGGCGAACGGGUGAGUAAUAUAUCGGAACGUGCCCAAUCGUGGGGGAUAACGCAGCGAAAGUUGUGCUAAUACCGCAUAAGAUCUACGGAUGAAAGCGGGGGAUCGCAAGACCUCGCGCGAGUGGAGCGGCCGAUAUCAGAUUAGCUAGUUGGUGGGGUAAAGGCCCACCAAGGCGACGAUCUGUAGCUGGUCUGAGAGGACGACCAGCCACACUGGGACUGAGACACGGCCCAGACUCCUACGGGAGGCAGCAGUGGGGAAUUUUGGACAAUGGGCGCAAGCCUGAUCCAGCCAUUCCGCGUGAGUGAAGAAGGCCUUCGGGUUGUAAAGCUCUUUCGGCCGGGACGAAAUCGCACGGGUCAAUACCCUGUGUGGAUGACGGUACUGGAAGAAGAAGCACCGGCUAACUACGU
rnacentral:rRNA from 1 species